GAUGAACGCUGGCGGCGCGCUUAACACAUGCAAGUCGAACGGUGAAGCAGGAGCUUGCUCUUGUGGAUCAGUGGCGAACGGGUGAGUAACACGUGAGCAACCUGCCCCUGACUCUGGGAUAAGCGCUGGAAACGGCGUCUAAUACUGGAUAUGUGAUGUGACCGCAUGGUCUGCAUCUGGAAAGAAUUUCGGUUGGGGAUGGGCUCGCGGCCUAUCAGCGCGUUGGGGAGGUAAUGGCUCACCAAGGCGUCGACGGGUAGCCGGCCUGAGAGGGUGACCGGCCACGCUGGGACUGAGACACGGCCCAGACUCCUACGGGAGGCAGCAGUGGGGAAUAUUGCACAAUGGGCGGAAGCCUGAUGCAGCAACGCCGCGCGAGGGAUGACGGCCUUCGGGUUGUAAACCUCUUUUAGCAGGGAAGAAGCGAAAGUGACGGUACCUGCAGAAAAAGCACCGGCUAACUACGUGCCAGCCGCCGCCGUAA
rnacentral:rRNA from 1 species